UGGGGAAUUUUGGACAAUGGGCGCAAGCCUGAUCCAGCAAUGCCGCGUGCAGGAUGAAGGCCUUCGGGUUGUAAACUGCUUUUGUACGGAGCGAAAAGGUCUGCCCUAAUACGGUGGGCUCAUGACGGUACCGUAAGAAUAAGCACCGGCUAACUACGUGCCAGCAGCCGCGGUAAUACGAAGGGGGCUAGCGUUGCUCGGAAUUACUGGGCGUAAAGGGAGCGUAGGCGGACAUUUAAGCCAGGGGUGAAAUCCCCGGGCUCAACCUGGGACCUGCAUUUGUGACUGUAUAGCUAGAGUACGGUAGGGGGGAUGGAAUUCCGCGUGUAGCAGUGAAAUGCGUAGAUAUGCGGAGGAACACCGAUGGCGAAGGCAAUCCCCUGGACCUGUACUGACGCUCAUGCACGAAAGCGUGGGGAGCAAACA
rnacentral:rRNA from 1 species